UACGUAGGGUCCGAGCGUUGUCCGGAAUUACUGGGCGUAAAGAGCUCGUAGGUGGUUUGUCGCGUUGUUCGUGAAAACUCACAGCUUAACUGUGGGCGUGCGGGCGAUACGGGCAGACUUGAGUACUGCAGGGGAGACUGGAAUUCCUGGUGUAGCGGUGGAAUGCGCAGAUAUCAGGAAGAACACCAAUGGCGAAAGCAGCUUUCUGGGACGGUACUGACGCUGAGACGCGAAAGCGUGGGGAGCGAACAGG
rnacentral:rRNA from 1 species